rnacentral:misc_RNA from 1 species
UCGCAUUAGGGAUUGUAGCGGUAGCCCACAGCCUGACGAAGGAAGUGCGAGGACUACAAGCGCAAAGCCCGACCCGAC